rnacentral:rRNA from 1 species
CCUACGGGGGGCUGCAGUGGGGAAUAUUGCACAAUGGGCGCAAGCCUGAUGCAGCCAUGCCGCGUGUGUGAAGAAGGCCUUCGGGUUGUAAAGCACUUUCAGCGGGGAGGAAGGCGGUGAGGUUAAUAACCUCAUCGAUUGACGUUACCCGCAGAAGAAGCACCGGCUAACUCCGUGCCAGCAGCCGCGGUAAUACGGGGGGUGCAAGCGUUAAUCGGAAUUACUGGGCGUAAAGCGCACGCAGGCGGUCUGUCAAGUCGGAUGUGAAAUCCCCGGGCUCAACCUGGGAACUGCAUUCGAAACUGGCAGGCUAGAGUCUUGUAGAGGGGGGUAGAAUUCCAGGUGUAGCGGUGAAAUGCGUAGAGAUCUGGAGGAAUACCGGUGGCGAAGGCGGCCCCCUGGACAAAGACUGACGCUCAGGUGCGAAAGCGUGGGGAGCAAACAGGAUUAGAUACCCUGGUAGUC